rnacentral:rRNA from 1 species
GACGAACGCUGGCGGCGUGCUUAACACAUGCAGGUCGAGCGGUAAGGCCCUUUCGGGGGUACACGAGCGGCGAACGGGUGAGUAACACGUGGGUGACCUGCCCUCAGCUCUGGGAUAAGCCUGGGAAACUGGGUCUAAUACUGGAUAUGACUCCACGGUGCAUGUCGUGGGGUGGAAAGCCUUGUGCGGCUGAGGAUGGGCCCGCGGCCUAUCAGCUUGUUGGUGGGGGAUGGCCUACCAAGGCGACGACGGGUAGCCGGCCUGAGAGGGCGACCGGCCACACUGGGACUGAGACACGGCCCAGACUCCUACGGGAGGCAGCAGUGGGGAAUCUUGCGCAAUGGGCGAAAGCCUGACGCAGCGACGCCGCGUGAGGGAUGACGGCCU